GUCAUUAACUCACAUGGUGCGACGCAACCAACUUGUCUAAUGCUUCUGAAAAUAAAGAAAAAGGAGCAAAAUGAGAAGAGAGGAGUCAACCUUUAAUUAAUGAGAAGAGACACUUUGGGCCAUGACAAUUGGAAUGGGAAGAGACACUUUGGAUAAUGACAGAUGGGGAGAGAGACCGGGGGAGGAAAACUUCCUUUGCAAUAUAGGUAAGAAAAAAUUGAAAAAAAGGGGAGGAGAUCAUCAUAAAAGGGGUGAGACCUCGAAAAUAAAGGGACAAGCAAAGAAAAAGAAAGAAAAGCAAUAUGAAGGGGAUACAGAGGAAAGCUCCAAGAAACAGAUUAUUGGAGCAUGACGUUACUAACACCAGCAAAAAAGACAUAGUGUAGGUACUAACAAGGGUGAUAAAAGGAUCAAAGUGGACAAAAGGAAUUCAGAAAGGGAAAUAGAAAGAAGAAGAAAAGGAAGGGAAUCGUCACAAAAUCGAGAAUGCCUCGACCUUAGGACCCUCAGAAUCAUAAAACAUAUAAUUUCAAGCCACAUUACCAGGAUCGAGCAAAAAAAAAAAGGAAAAAUCGAGAAAAUAGGGUGUGAAAGAAGGGAUGGAAAGCAUAAAGAAUCCAAGAUUUUUUUGUGAUAAGUGUUUAGCACGGAUCAUGCAAGAUUAUGCACAAAACUCGCAGAGUCUGUGUCAUUCUAAUGAAAAAAGCUACUAUCUUGUGACACGACCUGCGCGGACUAGUGAAGGAAAGCCACAUGAUCCGUGUCAAUAUCAGGGGAAGCUACUGCCUCACCACAUGGACCGUGUAGAAUCAUGAAGAAAAACCUGCAUGGUCCAUGUCAUGCGGGUUUCAACUUUAGAGAAGUAAAUCACACGGUGAUACGGCUCGUGCAGGAACCAGACCGAAACCUGGACGGUCUGUGUCCAGUUGGAAGCUUCACUUAAAAUGAGGGACAUGUGGGCAAUAACAGGGGGGCAUAUAAAUACCCACCAUUGAGACACUUAGGGCAUGCUGGUAUAUCUAAGAGCUGUUAGAGAAAAAGAAAAAACCUAGAUGGACACCAAAAAGAAAACUUGGUAGAUUUUUCCUUAGAGGUAGAGAUCUGGGGCUGAAAAUGAAGCUUUUGGAGAGGUGAUUUUAAGAGGAAAGAAAGAAUCAACAGCUCUACAAGUGAAGGUGGAGAGCAGAGCCAUUAUUUCUUAGUUUAUCAUCUUUAUUUUGGUUGAAUCAUUGUGCUCUAUGAUCUUAUCAGCUUGUAAUGACUCUAUAUUCUUUGUUUUCUUUCUUUGGAGAUUGCACUUUUGAUAAGGAAAAACUAAAUCAUUGCUAUGCCUAUGGUUUAGCUUUGUGAAUAUUGGGUUUUACUUUGGGUUUAAUUAAUUUGAAAUCCUUUUGUGUUUAUGCUUAA